AUACGGGAGGCAGCAGUGAGGAAUAUUGGUCAACGGGCGCAAGCCUGAACCAGCCAUCCCGCGUGAAGGAAGAAGGCGCUAUGCGUCGUAAACUUCUUUUCCGGAGGAAUAAAAUUUCGUACGUGUACGGGACUGAAGGUACUCUGGGAAUAAGCAUCGGCUAACUCCGUGCCAGCAGCCGCGGUAAUACGGGGGAUGCGAGCGUUAUCCGGAUUUAUUGGGUUUAAAGGGUGCGUAGGCGGAAAAAUAAGUCAGUGGUGAAAACCUUCAGCUUAACUGGAGACUUGCCAUUGAUACUGUUAUUCUUGAGUAUAGUUAAGGUAGGCGGAAUGUGUAAUGUAGCGGUGAAAUGCUUAGAUAUUACACAGAACACCAAUUGCGAAGGCAGCUUACUGAGCUAUAACUGACGCUGAUGCACGAAAGCGUGGGGAGCGAACAGGAUUAGAUACCCCGGUAGG
rnacentral:rRNA from 1 species